rnacentral:lncRNA from 1 species
UUAAUUUUUGAAAUAGCAAUCCAAACAACCUUAUUUCUGCCUAUAGAAUGAUUCUUCCACGACUCUCGCUUGGGUUCUAACUUCAAACUUCAUAGGAGUUCUGACCCACUUGACUUUUUGGUACCGAAAACAAAGGUUCGAAAUCCCAGUUGAGGCAAAGGUAUUGAAGAGCAGAUAGACCCGGAAGAUUCCAACCUUCUAGAUGGAGCCAGGUUAGGUCUCCGAAAACCUACUCUUUCUGUGAGGCAAAACCUCACCACACUACACUACACUUCGACACAAGAGAAGAGUUCUAGAAGGUUCCGGAGUGAUCUAGGAGUUGGUGGAAGCUCCAUGGAAGCACAAAGGAGUGGUGGCAUCUUAGGUACUUUUAUGGACUCAAAUUGUUCAAUGAAGGAAGAAGCUGCUUAGUUCUUUAGUUGCUAGGUUGAGUCUCUGUUGUGUAGAAGGAACAUAAUUAUCGGUUUGCAUAAACUUUAAAAUAUUGUUUCUCUUUAUAUAGUAGAGUUAGUUUUAAUUGAGUUAAUUGUAGGAGAAGGAUAUUAGAGUUAUUCCCUUUGGUUAUUGAGAUAACAUAAAAACUGAACUUUAAAGUUAGUAAUGUUUUGAAAGCAAAUCCUCAAUUGAAAAGCCAUGAGUUUUACUCCCUUGAGUAAGCCGAUUUUUCACGUAAUAUUUUUGUGUUUUUUAAAUUCCACAUUUCACUAGAUGUUUGAGUCUGAAUUAGGUAUUCACGAAAAUCAGGCGAGACACAAUUCACCUCCCCCUCCCGUCCUUCCCUCCUCAUGCCACGGUGCAACUUUAAAAUAAUAGGGGUUGUGAGAGAAUAGAAGAGAAAGUUAGGAUGACAUAAAAUCCAAAAAAUCAUACCAAAUCGAAUUAAUUCGUUACUUUGAUUUUGAUUUUUCGAUACUUGUCAGUAUUAAUUUUCAGCAAACUCGGAGUAUGAUGUGGUUUUCAAUUUUAAGGUUUACUUAUUUUGGUUACUACCAAUUAACCGAACUUUUUUACUAAAUAUUAUACUCCCAUAGAUUAGAAUAUUUGGUUGGAAUUUAAACAUUAAUUUGCUGCAGUUUUAGAAUGACUUGGAGGCUCAAAUUAGAAUGUGUAAUUGGAUUUUGUGAGUAGGAGCAGCUGGCUCGUUAGUUGCUGCUGCAAUUCGCAAUUUAGAAAUUUAGAUUUACUUAUGCUCGUUAUAGUUAUUGCUGCAAUUGGCAAGUGUUGCUACUCGUUCUUUAAAUAUAGUUUUUCA